CGUUCUCUUUUAUACAUCUGUCGAUUCAUCGCGUCGGAAGAAACCCCCAUUAACUCCAUACCCUUCCUCUUUGCCGUUCUAAUUUGUAGAUCCGUCAAUCUCCUAGAUCGGAGAAAACCCUAAUUUAUGUCAUCCUUUCCUUAGGGAAAAUCAAAGUUUAGUCCAUCCCUUCUCCUUAUGCAAUUGAAAGAUCAGAGGCAUAUCAAAUCUUUGAAGUUGAUGGUGUAUUCCUUUACUACGCGUUUGAUCCAUCAAAUUUUAGCCUGUUUGUUGAAGAAUUUUUUCGUUUUUAAGUUGCACGUUCAUCUCUUUGUAAGCAAUUGAAUCUCUGAUUCCUUGGAAAUUAUUGUUUUACUUGAUCCUUUAUAUUUUUAUAAUUAGUAGUUGAUCUAUCUAUUAUUAGGUUAAAAAUAAAAUUAUUAGUUUUGCAUGUGAAAUAUCCUAAUAUUUUGCAUGUUAAUAUCCUUUUAAGUAGUUGAAUUCUUUUGAAAUUUAUUCGCAUGUUAUUCUGGCCUGUUAUUAUUCAUUUUUCGUCCGUUGUUCAUUUAUUUGCCAUUUUUCUGCAUGUUGAUAUCUUUGUAAGUAGCUGUUUUCUCUAUUAUUGAAAUGAUUCCUUUGCGUCACUUGCCAUGAAUAUAUGAGAAUAUAUAUUUCUAUAUUGUGUAAUUUAAAGUCAAAGGAAAAGCAAAAAUAUAGCAUAAUCGUAACAAUUUAUGAUAAUUAGAAGUAAACAUGAAAAAAGUACUUAAUAUUUGCUCGUUUGCCAUGCCAUCGACGUUCUUAAAAUUCAAUGGGCUGCUGUUAAUCAUUUUCCCUUGAAUUUUGUAGUAAGGCAUGGUUUUAACACUAUGCGAAAUGUAGCCGUUGUGUUUGAUCAUUGAAUCUUGUUGUUGGACGUUCCUCUUUAGUAAUUCAUGUUUUCGUCGACUUCAUGUGCUUUAAAUAUACCUUUGAGGGAUUAAUGCAACGACCCAAGAAUGGGAUUCAUCCAUUUAUUGUGCAUGUUAAUCUGUUUGUAAGUAGUAAAUUUUUGUAUUAUUGAUUUUUUUCCUGAGCAUGACUUUCAAUGAGUAUUUGAGAAUAUAUAUUUAUUUGCUGUGUAAUUUUAAGGCAAAGGAAAAUGAAAAUUAAUAGGUUAAUCAUAAUAGUUUAUGAUGAUCAGAAGUAGACAUGAAAAAAGUAUGUGACAUUUGCUCAUAAAUGUUCAAAUUGUAGAAACGUAAUAUAUUUAGACAUGCAUAAGAAAGUUAUUUGAUUGUUUCCUGAACACUGUUGUUUGCUAUGUCAUUGAAGUCUUAAAGUUCAAAGGGCUAAUAUUAAUUUCCUUCGCUUAACUUCUGUGUUAAGGCAUGAUUUUAACAUGAAACGAAAUCUCACCGCUGUGUUUGAUUGUGGAAUGUUGUUCUUGGAGUUUAUUCUUUAUUAAUUCUUGUGAAUUGUUGAUUUCAUGUGAUUUACAUAUAUCUUUGAUGGAGCAAUUCAACGGGCGAAUAAUGGGAUACAUCCACCCUUUGAUGGUUUAAGUAACAUAAUUUUUUAUUAGCUUAUGUUAUACCCACAACAGUCUAUUUUACUCCUUCUGGUGAUUUGCAUAUAUGUUUGCAUUAAUGGAGUUAAAUAAUAAAUACCCACACAAAGUAAUAUAUUUUGGUAAUAGGAAAUUUUAGAUGAUGCAAUUCAUAUAGCUAAUGAUUGUGUUUGUUAUAUUCUUCUUGUUAAUUGAUAUAGUUUGCUAUUUGUGCUUGCAUUGAGGUAUUGUUUGUUGGCUUCUUGUUGUAUGUACUGCUUGGUUGUAUCUUAAUGACGAAUGGCUUUCUAUGGUAGUUGAUAGUGGUAUGAGUUCUUUCUAUUUAAGUUUUUUAAGAGGAGCAAUGAUGAUGAUAACAAACUGAGAAUACAUCCUAUAUUAAUUAUGUAAUGUUUAGGCGAGGCAAUUAUGUGUGGAAUGCAACUUACAUUGAUAUUACAAAGUUUGGGUGAGGUAAUCUAUCAUAUUAGCAGCCUACAUUGCAUCAUACUUUUAUAGGAGAGGCAAUCUAUUAUGACCCAUUUAUUUAUAUCCUGAGCCGCACUAAAUAAUCACUCAUCCUGCUAUUGAUUUUGAUCUUGUUUAGCCAUAUGUUUUGUGGGAAUAGUUGCUGUUUUUCAUGCUUUUAUGCUGAUUUCAAGCUAUUUUAUUUCUGUUUUGUGAUAUAUUUGUUUUAGUUUGAUUGCAUGUUUGAGUUGUUGUUCUUGUUUUCGUAAUUCAUAUUCUGUAGUUAUUGAGCUUGUUUUAACUAAAAUUGAGUUUUUGACAAAUUUUCUGGUCAAUAAAAUGAUAUUGCAAAGUAAUUUACAAUGUUCAUAGCAAGAUGAGGUGUUGUUUACUACGUUAUUAGAAUGCAAUACAUAUGAUGUUAUACGUUUCAUUUGAGGCAAUAAAUUUUGACAAAAUAAAAAAAUCUGAGCGAAAUUACUUCAUAAAAAUAUGAAUGAUGACAUGAAAUUGGCAAAGUAGUAAACGAUUUGAAUAGAGCAUUGAUUUUGAUUUAACUAAAGUAAAUAAAAUUCUAUGUCACAGCACUAAUACAUUGUUACGAACGUUGUGCUUAUGAAUUAAGAGAGCAUUAAUUAUACAAUUUGUGUCACAGAUAAUGUUACAAUAUUAAGACUUUCACCAACUUUUUUGAUGUUUAUCUUUCAAAGCAUUGGCUCUUCCUUUAUUUUAAAAUUGUACUCACCUCCACUGUAAUGAUAGCAUCAUUGUCUGUUAGUUUUUUAACUGAUGGUUGUCUAUGUAGCAAGCUAAUUUUACGUGGCUUUUAAUAUGCAUUGAAAAUAAAAUUUCACUAGUUAGGUAUCAUGAUUAUAUCAUUGUAAAUAUGAGAGAUAGUGCAAUGAUAUAACAAAUAAAUUUGUUGAUCUCUUUAUUAAUGCCCAGAUCAUUUAUAGCAUUUAAUGUUAUACUGAAGAAAUGAAGAGUUUCAUAUAACGUUUCAAAAGCUAGCAUUUAAUAUCAUAAAAUUAAAUUUAUACAAUGUUAAAACUUAUACCUGUUUGUAAGUUGUUGAAAUUUUUUUUAUAAACAAUAUUGUUUGUAAAGUUUUUGCUUUGUUCUUGCUCCUUCUCUAUCAAAAUCUUAAGCCCUCUCGGUGAAGUUACUCUGGAGACAGUAACAUACAACUGGCCAUGUGUAAAACAUGGCCUUGGAAAUGUAUAAUCCCACAAUUUUUAAUGUUUGUCCUUGGCUUUUAUUUAUUGUCAUUGCAAAUGAUGGUCUGAUUGGAAAUUGUCUUCUCUUCAUGUGGAAUGGCCAUUUUGAAUCUGUGUUUGUCAAGACACAUCUUGGAAUGAAGUGUUUUGUUUCGAUAUUGGACCCACUGAUUAUUCUUGCUUCUAUUAUCCACUUCAUCAAUUGUGUUACUAUCAUCCUCGUGCCAUUGCAAAGGCCUUCUGUUGGACUUAGAUUAUACAACAACAUGAUUGGAGUUCCAACUUUUAGUUUUAUUUGAUGAUUUGGCAUUCUUGGAAAUGUUAAUGAAUUGAGGAAUUCUAUAGGGUAGCUUGCUUCAUUUUCUUGCAGAUUUGGAGAAGUGGCGCAAAUGGAAUCUGAGCUUAAGUAAGUUACUUAUUCACCUUGUAUUUUUUCUUGAAUGAUGUCAUUUAUAAUAUCUACAUUUUCAUUUCUUGGAGUCAAGAUUACUAUCUCUUGUAAAUAGCCUGUAUUAGAAAAGUUUUCUAGCAGAUUUGGAUAAGUCUAGGAUAUAAUAUCAUGUAAUGGAUUUCCAGUUGAAUGAAUAAUGAAAUCUUCUGGUAUCUCAAUUAAUGGCUCACCAUUGUUAGAUGCAUCUUCUACUGAUUGUAAGUGACCAUUUCCAAUAUUAAGCACCCAUCUUCCGAAAUCAUCUAUUGCCAUGCCAUUGUCUUCAGAUUCUAUUUGUUGUAGCCUCAUGUUUUGCGUCAAAGCAAAUAAUUUGCAUUCAUUCCAUAAUCUAGAACUGCUAAUUGAAGUGUUCAAUAUGUCAUACUUGUUACCUCCUGGCAGUACUGGUGAUAUUUGCCUAAAAUCUCCCCCUAGAACAACUGUUAUCCCUCCAAAUGGUUUGAUUUGAGCCAACUCAUCUUGGCUUCUUAAAAUGUCUUGUAAUGUACAAUCUACCCUUAGAACCAUUGUAUUACAUGACCUGCACCAGACUUUCCCCAAAGUUGAUGGUGUUUUUUUGGCACAAUCUGGACAUCUAACAUAGCUAAUCCAGUUCCUUGACAACUCCAAUGAUUUGCACAUCACAUAUGAAAAAGUACACCUAUAAUUGAAAGAGUUGGUAUUAGAAUGCAGUUAGCAAUUAGGUAGUUAUACUUUGAAUAAAUCGACAGAUUUAUCAUUACCUUUUGAAUUUCCUGCAUCAUUAAAAUAUAUAACUUCAUAUGGGCAAUGCUUGAGAAGCCUUUACUAAUUCUUGUUGCUAAUUGAGCAUGUUGCUUAUUUGUGCUUACAUUGAGGUAUUGGUUGUUCGCUUCUUUUGGUAUAUAAUAUAAUGCGCAGUUUGACCUUAAUGAUGGAAAGCUUUCUUUGGUAAUCAAUUCUGGUAUGAGCUCUUUUGCUUUAUGUUUUCUUAGUUGAGCAAUGAUGAUGAUUAGAAUCUGAGGAUGCAUCUUAUAUUAAUUAUGUAUUAUUAAAUAUGUAAUGCUUAGGCGAGGCAAUUUUGUGUGGAAAUCAACCUAUAUUGAGAUUACAAUGUUUAGGUGUGGUAAUCCAUUAUAAUAGCAUCCUACUUUUUUUUAUUACAAUGUGAUAUCAAAGCUUAGGCGAGGCAAUUUAUUGUGGAAUGCAACCUACAUUGAAAUCACAAUGUUUAGGUGAGGUAACACUCAUAAUAGCAACCUACAUUGCAUCAUCAUCAUACAUUUAUAGGAGAGACAAUCUUUUGUGACCAAUCUAUUUAUAUCUUGAGCCCUAGUAAGUAUUCAUAAAUUUAUGUGAUGAUUUUGAGCUUGUUUAGCUCUAAUUUAAAAGAGUUGGUUUCAGCUUGUAUCCUACAUGACCAAUCUAUUUUCACGUACUCAGCAAUUAUCAUGUAGCUUUUAUGACCAAUCUUUUUAUCUAUUUUUAUGUACUCAGCAAUUUUUAUGUAGCUUUUAUAAUUGAAAGAGGUGGUUUUAGCCUGUAGUCUGCAAUGAUCUAUUCAUAAUUUCAAAAAAGUAAUAAAUAUGUAAUACCUGUGAAGUUCCUGGAGCAUCGAAAUUUACUACUUCAUAAAGUGUUGCUUUUGUAGCCUUGAUUGUUUCUAGUUGAGUAUUGGAUAAAUUCACAGAUGAAGUUACUAACUGCAAGUUGUUUUCAUUGUGAGUAUUCCUACAUGUAUAACAAAGAAGUUAUUAUCAGUAGUAUAGAUAGUUCCAGAUUCAUUAAUUAGAAGUUAUGUUACACAAAGUUUUAACAAUGUAUUGUGUAACCUUCUUACCCUUGUAGUAAUUUUUGAACUCUUACUUCAUCAAUAUUGUAGUACACUUUUAUUGCUGUCAUUGAUGAAACGGUAUUGUUACCUAUGUAUCAAUACAUGCAUAUAAAGAUUAAUGAAUAUUUAUAUUUCUGAAUGUUAAAAUGCAAGGAACGGCGAUCUAAAUUCUACCUCUGAAGUUUUUAACUAAAACUCCAGUCACCACGAUAACAACAUUAUUUGUAUCAUGAUCUUUAAAGCUGGAGUCAAAGUCGAUUGCUAGUUUAUUCCGUAAUGUGAUCAUACACUCAUCAUGCCUGUAAAAAAAUGAUUCAUAUUAAACUAUUAACAUGCCUUUGAACUUCUCUUUAGGUUAAGUUAUAAUAAUACAAUCUUACUGUUCAUCUAUUAGUUUAAUAGAUCUUACCUGUGGACAUUUUCCCAGAAUUUGUUGACUCUCCUGUCAGAUAGACUUCCUUCAUAAUGCCUGCAAUGUCUGUUAUAGUAUAUAUUCAUGCUAACUUAGUAUUCAUGUUCAUGUAUUAGCAACUGUAAAACAAAAAAGGCCAUUAAUUACCACCUCUUAGAUAAGUAUUCUUAUCUUUAUAUAAGUAUAGAUCAUUGAAAGGAACAAAGUCAAAUUUAUAUUUUGCAAUGCUGUCGUCCGCUAUUUGGAGAACUCUAACCACUGUUUGCCUGCAGAAACAGAUUAUGAUUUUGUUCUCCGUUGUUUGGUAAUUGCCAAAUGCGGUAAGUACUCGGAACUUUGAUAUCACAUGUAUCUUUCCCUCCUCAAGCAAUGAACUAAACCUUGAUAUCUUAGUAUGUUUGAUUGUCCCUUGACAGUGAGUGUCGUAUGCAAUUGAAGUAUAUAUUAUUGUUCGAUCAAAAUGACAUACGAAGAGUAAUCAACAUGUUAAAUUAAAUAUAUUGUUCCUUACAUUUUCAUCCAAUAGUGUUAGAUGCAAGCCGAAUAUAUCCCCAUUCUUGAUAUUCACAUUGUCCCAUAUUCUAAUCACCCUUACCUUAAUGAUUGCAUCAUUGUCUUUGGUGGUUAAAUUACUGAUGGUUGAGUAGCUAGCAAGCGCCAUCUGUGCGUCCUUUAAUCUGUAGUGAAAUGUUAAUUUCAUCAUUUAUGCAAACAUUAUUUAUAUAUAGGUAAUAUGCAAACUAAUGUAAUUAUCCAUUAGUUGUGGUUUGUAGGACAGUGACAUGAUUAACUUGCUUGGCUAUGCAAACGGCAAUAUGACGAAAUAAUUGUAUAUGUAAUUUCUUAAUCGCAUCGCCUCCUACAUGACAAAGUACUUGGGUAUGUAACUCCUACAUGACAAACUACUUAUCACUGACGGUUAUUGGCUGAAGAGGAGGCGAGAGGCGUCGUCAAUCCGCAGGUAAUAUCUAUAUAAAUUCGUGAUUCAUGAUUUUCCUAAGUUUGGAGGUGUUUUCUUCUGCCAAAACUCUUGCAGAUUUGUUUUUUUCAUUUCUUUAUUGGUUGUCAGUUGGCUCGCUGAACUUGUUUGAGAGGGUGCUACAGUAAUUUCUUGUGUAUUGGUAACAUGCAACAUGCAACAUUUAAAGGGGCAAAGAUGAACAUGGCAACAUGCAACAUUAAAAGUUAUAAAUGUAUUAUAGUGAGAAACAUGAAUGUAAUGAGCUGUGGAAUUACCUGAGCUAGUGAGAUGAGCUAGUGAGAGGAAUUUUUGUUUGAGUGACUUUUGAAUGUGAUAACUAUAUUGUACUCGGAUUAUAUAGAGGGAGAAACAGGUGAGGGGGAAAAUCGGUUUGGAGGGAAGUUCAAAUAGAUGGAGAAGACAUGUGGGUGGGGGGGAUUAUUUGAACUCUUCCUUAUGUUUUAUAUUUGAAUUAAACCGCAAAAACCGGCUGGACUGUAGCGGGAUUUAACUGCAGAAAAGUUAUUUUGUAAUUUUCAAAAAUUUAAAAGCAAUAUAAUGAUAUAUAAUAAUCGGUUUA